GAAAGACAUCUUUUUCAACAACAGACCACACACACAAUGGUGGUCCCAUAAGAUCAGUACCAUAUAGCCUAGAUGUGUAGUAGGCUAUACCAUCUAGUACACUCAAUGAUGUUC